rnacentral:rRNA from 1 species
UACGUAGGGGGCUAGCGUUGUCCGGAAUCAUUGGGCGUAAAGAGCGUGUAGGCGGCUCGGUAAGUCCGCUGUAAAAGUCAAAGGCUCAACCUUUGAAUGUCAGUGGAUACUGCCGGGCUAGAGUCCGGAAGAGGCGAGUGGAACUCCUGGUGUAGCGGUGGAAUGCGCAGAUAUCAGGAAGAACACCAACGGCGAAGGCGGCUCGCUGGGACGUUACUGACGCUGAGACGCGAAAGCGUGGGGAGCAAACAGG